ACUCCUACGGGGGGCAGCAGUGGGGAAUAUUGCACAAUGGGCGGAAGCCUGAUGCAGCAACGCCGCGUGAGGGAUGACGGCCUUCGGGUUGUAAACCUCUUUUAGCAGGGAAGAAGCGUGAGUGACGGUACCUGCAGAAAAAGCGCCGGCUAACUACGUGCCAGCAGCCGCGGUAAUACGUAGGGCGCAAGCGUUAUCCGGAAUUAUUGGGCGUAAAGAGCUCGUAGGCGGUUUGUCGCGUCUGCUGUGAAAUCUGGAGGCUCAACCUCCAGCCUGCAGUGGGUACGGGCAGACUAGAGUGCGGUAGGGGAGAUUGGAAUUCCUGGUGUAGCGGUGGAAUGCGCAGAUAUCAGGAGGAACACCGAUGGCGAAGGCAGAUCUCUGGGCCGUAACUGACGCUGAGGAGCGAAAGGGUGGGGAGCAAACAGGCUUAGAUACCCUGGUAGUCCACCCCGUAAACGUUGGGAACUAGUUGUGGGGGCCUUUCCACGGUCUCCGUGACGCAGCUAACGCAUUAAGUUCCCCGCCUGGGGAGUACGGCCGC
rnacentral:rRNA from 1 species